rnacentral:piRNA from 1 species
UAGACUCAGAAAAAACAUUGA